rnacentral:rRNA from 1 species
GUCGAACGGAACUGUUUUGAAAGAUUUCUUCGGAAUGAAUUUGAUUUAGUUCAUUGGCGGACGGGUGAGUAACGCGUGAGUAACCUGCCUUCAAGAGGGGGAUAACAUUCUGAAAAGAAUGCUAAUACCGCAUGACAUAUCGGAACCACAUGGUUCUGAUAUCAAAGAUUUUAUCGCUUGAAGAUGGACUCGCGUCCGAUUAGUUAGUUGGUGAGGUAACGGCUCACCAAGACCGCGAUCGGUAGCCGGACUGAGAGGUUGAACGGCCACAUUGGGACUGAGACACGGCCCAGACUCCUACGGGAGGCAGCAGUGGGGGAUAUUGCGCAAUGGGGGCAACCCUGACGCAGCAACGCCGCGUGAAGGAUGAAGGUUUUCGGAUUGUAAACUUCUUUUAUUAAGGACGAAAAUUGACGGUACUUAAUGAAUAAGCUCCGGCUAACUACGUGCCAGCAGCCGCGGUAAUACGUAGGGAGCAAGCGUUGUCCGGAUUUACUGGGUGUAAAGGGUGCGUAGGCGGCUUUGCAAGUCAGAUGUGAAAUCUAUGGGCUCAACCCAUAAACUGCAUUUGAAACUGUAGAGCUUGAGUGAAGUAGAGGCAGGCGGAAUUCCCCGUGUAGCGGUGAAAUGCGUAGAGAUGGGGAGGAACACCAGUGGCGAAGGCGGCCUGCUGGGCUUUAACUGACGCUGAGGCACGAAAGCGUGGGUAGCAAACAGGAUUAGAUACCCUGGUAGUCCACGCUGUAAACGAUGAUUACUA